rnacentral:rRNA from 1 species
UACGGAGGGGGCUAGCGUUGUUCGGAAUUACUGGGCGUAAAGCGCACGUAGGCGGCUUUGUAAGUUAGAGGUGAAAGCCCGGGGCUCAACCCCGGAACUGCCCUCGAAACUAGGUAGCUAGAAUCUUGGAGAGGUCAGUGGAAUUCCGAGUGUAGAGGUGAAAUUCGUAGAUAUUCGGAAGAACACCAGUGGCGAAGGCGACUGACUGGACAAGUAUUGACGCUGAGGUGCGAAAGCGUGGGGAGCAAACAGG